rnacentral:rRNA from 1 species
UACGAAGGGGGCUAGCGUUGUUCGGAAUUACUGGGCGUAAAGCGCGCGCAGGCGGCUAUCCAAGUCAGUGGUGAAAGCCCGGAGCUCAACUCCGGAACUGCCAUUGAAACUGUUUAGCUUGAGGAUGAGAGAGGUGAGUGGAAUUCCCAGUGUAGAGGUGAAAUUCGUAGAUAUUGGGAAGAACACCGGUGGCGAAGGCGGCUCACUGGCCCGUUACUGACGCUCAGGCGCGACAGCGUGGGGAGCAAACAGG